AAAAACAUUUUCUAUGCUUUUAAAAAAGUUAGAAGCUUUUUUUAAAUUAUUUCUUU
rnacentral:tRNA from 1 species